AUUGAACGCUGGCGGCAGGCCUAACACAUGCAAGUCGGGCGAACGGCGGACUGGUGAGUAAUGUAUGGGGAUCUGCCUGAUGGAGGGGGAUCACUACUGGAAACGGUAGCUAAUACCGCAUAACAUCAGAUGAACCCAUAUGGGAUUAGCUUGUAGGUAUGGUAACGGCUUACCGAGGCGACGAUCCCUAGCUGGUCUGAGAGGAUGAUCAGCCACACUGGGACUGAGACACGGCCCAGACGCCUACGUGAGGCAGCAGUGGGGAAUAUUGCACAAUGGGCGCAAGCCUGAUGCAGCAAUGCCGCGUGUAUGAAGAAGGCCUUCGGGUUGUAAAGUACUUUCAGUCGGGAGGCGUUACCGACAGAAGAAGCACCGGCUAACUCCGUGCCAGCAGCCGCGGUAAUAC
rnacentral:rRNA from 1 species